rnacentral:rRNA from 1 species
ACGGGUGAGUAACACGUGAGUAACCUGCCCCAGACUCUGGGAUAACUUCGGGAAACCGGAGCUAAUACCGGAUAUGACACGGAGACGCAUGUCUACCGUGUGGAAAGUUUUUCGGUCUGGGAUGGGCUCGCGGCCUAUCAGCUUGUUGGUGAGGUAAUGGCUCACCAAGGCGACGACGGGUAGCCGGCCUGAGAGGGCGACCGGCCACACUGGGACUGAGACACGGCCCAGACUCCUACGGGAGGCAGCAGUGGGGAAUAUUGCACAAUGGGCGAAAGCCUGAUGCAGCGAUGCCGCGUGAGGGAUGACGGCCUUUGGGUUGUAAACCUCUUUCAGCAGGGAAGAAGCGCAAGUGACGGUACCUGCAGAAGAAGCACCGGCUAACUACGUGCCAGCAGCCGCGGUAAUACGUAGGGUGCGAGCGUUGUCCGGAAUUAUUGGGCGUAAAGAGCUUGUAGGCGGUCUGUCGCGUCUGCUGUGAAAAUCCGGGGCUCAACCCCGGACUUGCAGUGGGUACGGGCAGACUAGAGUGUGGUAGGGGAGACUGGAAUUCCUGGU